ACCAUGCUGAAUAUACCGGUUCUCGUUAGAUCACCGAAGUUAAGCAUCAUUGGGCGCGGUCAAUUACCACCUGGGAACACUGCGUGCUGUUG